UACGAAGGGGGCUAGCGUUGCUCGGAAUCACUGGGCAUAAAGCGCACGUAGGCGGAUUGCUAAGUCAGGGGUGAAAUCCUGGAGCUCAACUCCAGAACUGCCUUUGAUACUGGCGAUCUUGAGUCCGGGAGAGGUGAGUGGAACUGCGAGUGUAGAGGUGAAAUUCGUAGAUAUUCGCAAGAACACCAGUGGCGAAGGCGGCUCACUGGCCCGGUACUGACGCUGAGGUGCGAAAGCGUGGGGAGCAAACAGG
rnacentral:rRNA from 1 species